UACGUAGGGUGCAGGCGUUAAUCGGAAUUACUGGGCGUAAAGCGUGCGCAGGCGGUUUCUUAAGUCAGAUGUGAAAGCCCCGGGCUUAACCUGGGAACUGCGUUUGAAACUGGGAGACUUGAGUGUGGCAGAGGGGGGUGGAAUUCCACGUGUAGCAGUGAAAUGCGUAGAGAUGUGGAGGAACACCAGUGGCGAAGGCGACUCUUUGGCCUGUAACUGACGCUGAGGCGCGAAAGCGUGGGGAGCAAACAGG
rnacentral:rRNA from 1 species